ACUGUGAAUAAUUCUGGGGUAUAAUAGGAAGAAUUGAGGCUGCUGAAGACAGCAAAACCUCUUGUGAAUGCAGCUCUGAAUGUUCCAUGCCAUCAGGGGGCACUCGUGGUCCCAAUGGUCAUGGGUUUUCUAGAAGAUUCAGGCAAUACACUUGAAGAAUUGCAGUUACUGAUUGCUGGAGAACUUGGACUAAGGAGUCUGAAAAAGCAACACUUGAUUACAGAUGACAUCAUCAAGUUAUGGGAGAG